GCAUCAGUAGCGCAAUGGGUUAAAGCACGCAUUCCCGGAUAGGGUGAGAUGCGGGUUUGAAGCCUGCCUGAAGCA